GCUUCUGAGAGAUAACAGCUCAUCCCUUGGUCCCGGUAACCAAAAACUCUUUGGUGCAAACCCAGGCAGAAGCU
rnacentral:tRNA from 1 species